rnacentral:lncRNA from 1 species
AAUGACAACCUCUGCUGCAUAGAACCUGGAACAACACUUUUAUCACUAUUACAAAAUGAAAGGGCAAAGAAAACCAUGGCACUAUAUGAUUAACUCAUUAAAAUAACCAGAUAUGUAUGAAGUGAUGGUAUCUUUAAUUGAAACACCAAAUACAGAAUAUCUGACGUCGAGUCAACAUUUAAAUGCAUGUGGGAAAAAUCACAUUUGCUUUUCACUUUAAUGUGCGUAAAUUCUAUAGCCGUCUGGAAGUGAUUUCAACAAUAGGGAAGAGAUCCGAGAAGCAACUUGGUUAGCUGUGAUCUUUGUUAACAAUAUCAGGCACUGCCAAAGACCUAUUACACAAAUCAUAGUUACCUUGCAGAUUCCUCCUUAAAGAAUUUCAUAGGCUGCAUGUCAAGUAGUGCAAAUAGCUCUCCACCAGAACAAAA